ACCCUGACCGAGCAACGCCGCGUGAGUGAUGACGGCCUUCGGGUUGUAAAGCUCUGUUGUAAGGGAAGAACGGUAGAUAGAGAAUAUCUAAGUGACGGUACCUUACCAGAAAGCCACGGCUAACUACGUGCCAGCAGCCGCGGUAAUACGUAGGUGGCGAGCGUUAUCCGGAAUUAUUGGGCGUAAAGGGUGCGUAGGCGGCCUGUUAAGUAAGUGGUUAAAUUGUUGGGCUCAACCCAAUCCAGCCACUUAAACUGGCAGGCUAGAGUAUUGGAGAGGCAAGUGGAAUUCCAUGUGUAGCGGUAAAAUGCGUAGAUAUAUGGAGGAACACCAGUGGCGAAGGCGGCUUGCUAGCCAAAGACUGACGCUCAUGCACGAAAGCGUGGGGAGCAAAUAGGAUUAGAUACCCUAGUAGUCCACGCCGUAAACGAUGAAUACUAAGUAUUGGGGAAACUCAGUGCUGCAGCUAACGCAAUAAGUAUUCCGCCUGUGGAGUAUGCACGCAAGUGUGAAACAUAAAGGAAUUGACGGGGGCCCGCACAAGCGGUGGAGUAUGUGGUUUAAUUCGACGCAACGCGAAGAACCUUACCAGGCCUUGACAUCCCUUGCAAAGCUGUAGAGAUACAGUAGAGGUUAUCAAGGAGACAGGUGGUGCAUGGUUGUCGUCAGCUCGUGUCGUGAGAUGUUGGGUUAAGUCCCGCAACGAGCGCAACCCUUGCCUUCAGUUACCAGCAUUCAGUUGGGGACUCUGGAGGGACUGCCGGUGAUAAACCGGAGGAAGGUGGGGAUGACGUCAAAUCAUCAUGCCCCUUAUGGCCUGGGCUACACACGUACUACAAUGGCUGUUACAACGUGCAGCGACCUAGCGAUAGGAAGCGAAUCACUAAAAGACAGUCUCAGUUCGGAUUGAAGUCUGCAACUCGACUUCAUGAAGCUGGAAUCGCUAGUAAUCGCGGAUCAGAAUGCCGCGGUGAAUACGUUCUCGGGCCUUGUACACACCGCCCGUCAUACCAUGAGAGCUGGUAAUACCCGAAGCCGGUGGCCUAACCGCAAGGAAGGAGCCGUCGAAGGUAGGACUAGUGAUUGGGGUCAAGUCGUAACAAGGUAUCCCUACGAGAACGUGGGGAUG
rnacentral:rRNA from 1 species